rnacentral:rRNA from 1 species
UCCUACGGGAGGCAGCAGUGAGGAAUAUUGGUCAAUGGUCGGGAGACUGAACCAGCCAAGCCGCGUGAGGGAUGAAGGUACAGAGUAUCGUAAACCUCUUUUGUCAGGGAACAAAGGCGGGGACGUGUCCCCGGAUGAGUGUACCUGAAGAAAAAGCAUCGGCUAACUCCGUGCCAGCAGCCGCGGUAAUACGGAGGAUGCGAGCGUUAUCCGGAUUUAUUGGGUUUAAAGGGUGCGCAGGCGGUCUGUUAAGUCAGCGGUCAAAGCCCGGGGCUCAACCCCGGCCCGCCGUUGGAACCUGCAGG